GAUGAACGCUGGCGGCGUGCCUAAUACAUGCAAGUCGAGCGAACAGAUAAGGAGCUUGCUCCUUUGACGUUAGCGGCGGACGGGUGAGUAACACGUGGGUAACCUACCUAUAAGACUGGGAUAACUUCGGGAAACCGGAGCUAAUACCGGAUAACAUUUGGAACCGCAUGGUUCUAAAGUGCAAGAUGGUUUUGCUAUCACUUAUAGAUGGACCCGCGCCGUAUUAGCUAGUUGGUAAGGUAACGGCUUACCAAGGCAACGAUACGUAGCCGACCUGAGAGGGUGAUCGGCCACACUGGAACUGAGACACGGUCCAGACUCCUACGGGAGGCAGCAGUAGGGAAUCUUCCGCAAUGGGCGAAAGCCUGACGGAGCAACGCCGCGUGAGUGAUGAAGGGUUUCGGCUCGUAAAACUCUGUUAUUAGGGAAGAACAAAUGUGUAAGUAACUGUGCACGUCUUGACGGUACCUAAUCAGAAAGCCACGGCUAACUACGUG
rnacentral:rRNA from 1 species